CCUACGGGAGGCAGCAGUGAGGAAUAUGGGGCAAUGGGGGGACGACGGAAGAAGAAAAGUAGAGGGAGGGAAGACUGCCCUAUGGGUUGUAAACCUCUUUUGUCAGGGAGCAACGCCGGCUACGUGUAGCCGGACUGAGAGUACCUGAAGAAAAAGCAUCGGCUAACUCCGUGCCAGCAGCCGCGGUAAUACGGAGGAUGCGAGCGUUAUCCGGAUUUAUUGGGUUUAAAGGGUGCGUAGGCGGAAUGCCAAGUCAGCGGUAAAAUCGCGGGGCUCAACCUCGCUCCGCCGUUGAAACUGGCGUUCUUGAGUGGGCGAGAAGUAUGCGGAAUGCGUGGUGUAGCGGUGAAAUGCAUAGAUAUCACGCAGAACUCCGAUUGCGAAGGCAGCAUACCGGCGCCCAACUGACGCUGAAGCACGAAAGCGUGGGUAUCGAACAGGAUUAGAUACCCCAGUAGUC
rnacentral:rRNA from 1 species